rfam:Myotis lucifugus cont2.47293, whole genome shotgun sequence.
GAUAUUUGAGGAGAGGUUAUCCGUGCUAUGUUCGCUUCAUUCAUCAUGAAUAAUACAUGGUUAACCUCUUUUUGAAUAUC